rnacentral:rRNA from 1 species
UAAAAUAAUUAAGGGCACAUAGGGAAUGCCUAGGUAGUAAGAGCCGAUGAAGGACGUGGUAAGCUGCGAUAAGCUCAGGGUAGUUGCAAUCGAACGUUGAUCCUGAGAUUUCCGAAUGGAGCAAUCCGCUAAGUUGAAGACUUAGCACGAAAGAGGGUACCGCGUGAACUGAAACAUCUAAGUAACGCGAGGAAAAGAAAGUAAAAACGAUUCCCCAAGUAGCGGCGAGCGAACGGGGAUGAGCCCAAACCGCAUAAAUGCCAAGGAUGCAGCCGUUGUUUAUGCGGGGUUGUGGGAAGAACCACGAGGAACUGCAACGUACUCAACAAUGUUAAUGACUGAACUGGAACUAGUUGGAAAGCUAGAUCGUAGAAGGUGAUAAUCCUGUACAGGUAAACUCAUUAACUUGUCCGUUCUCUCCCAAGUAACAUGGAACACGAGGAAUUCUGUGUGAAUCUGCGAGGACCAUAUCUCGUAAGGCUAAAUACUCUUACUAACCGAUAGCGUAUAGUACCGUGAGGGAAAGGUGAAAAGAACCCCGGGAGGGGAGUGAAAUAGAACCUGAAACUAUGUGCUUACAAGCGGUCAGAGCCCGCAAGGGUGAUGGCGUGCCUUUUGGAGAAUGAUCCUGCGAGUUACGUUCAGUGGCAAGGUUAAGUUUAACGGAGCCGAAGGGAAACCGAGUCUGAACAGGGCGAUUUUAGUCGCUGGGCGUAGACGCGAAACCUGGUGAUCUAAGCCUGUCCAGGGUGAAGCUGUGGUAAGACACAGUGGAGGCCCGAACUCACCGCCGUUGAAAAGUUGGGAGAUGAGGUAGGUUUAGGGGUGAAAAGCCAAUCGAACUAGGAGAUAGCUCGUUCUCUCCGAAAUGCAUUUAGGUGCAGCCUUGAGUGUUUAAUUAUGGGGGUAGAGCACUGAAUGGACUAGGGGGCGCAUUGCUUACUGAAUCCAAUCAAACUCCGAAUACCAUAAUUCAAGAGCUCAGGAGUGAGACUAUGGGAAUUAACUUCCAUUGUCAAAAGGGAAACAACCCAGACCACCAGCUAAGGUCCCUAAUCAUAACUAAGUGGGAAAGGAGGUGGAGAUUCAUAAACAACCAGGAGGUUGGCUUAGAAGCAGCCAUACCUUUAAAGAGUGCGUAAUAGCUCACUGGUCGAGAGUCUCUGCGCCGACAAUGUAACGGGGCUAAGUUAUGAACCGAAGCUGUGGAAUUGCGCAAGCAAUUGGUAGGAGAGCGUUCUGUAGGCCGUUGAAGGAGAAGCGUAAGCAAUUCUGGAGGUAUCAGAAGUGAGAAUGCAGGAAUAAGUAGCGAGAAGGGAGGCGAGAAUCCUCCCCGCCGGAAGACCAAGGUUUUCAGGGUAAAGCUUGUCUUCCCUGAGUAAGCCGGGACCUAAGCCGAGGCUAUAGUGCGUAGGCGAAUGGAAAACAGAUUAAUAUUUCUGUGCCAGUCAUAUUUUGUGAUGGAGGGACGCAGAAGGGUAUGUACGCGGAAGAACGGUAGUUUCCGUAAAAGCAUGUAGAAUGACUUGAUAGGUAAAUCCGUCAAGUUAGAUUUGAGGUGUGAUAUAUAGUCAUAAGAUGAAUGUACAAAUCCCACGCUGCCGAGAAAAGCUUCUAACGUUAAGGUAUGACUGCCCGUACCCGAAACCGACACAGGUGGUCAGGAUGAGAAAUCUAAGGCGGACAGGCUAACUCUCGUUAAGGAACUCUGCAAAAUUGCCCCGUAACUUCGGGAGAAGGGGUGCCCCUGAGUGUGAGCAUACACGCGAUGUUAAGCGCUUGGGGGUCGCAGUGAAGAGGCUCAAGCAACUGUUUAACAAAAACACAGGUCUAUGCUAAGCUGUAAGGCGAUGUAUAUGGGCUGACACCUGCCCAGUGCCGGAAGGUUAAGAGGAGGAGUGAGAGCUCCGAAUUGAAGCCCCGGUGAACGGCGGCCGUAACUAUAACGGUCCUAAGGUAGCGAAAUUCCUUGUCGGGUAAG